rnacentral:misc_RNA from 1 species
AAAGUCGUAACAAGGUUUCCGUAGGUGAACCUGCGGAAGGAUCAUUACCGAGUGAGGGCCCUCUGGGUCCAACCUCCCACCCGUGUUUAUUAUACCUUGUUGCUUCGGUGGGCCCGCCGUAUGGCCGCCGGGGGGCUUCUGCCCCCGGGCCCGUGCCCGCCGAAGACACCUAGAACUCUGUCUGAAGAUUGUAGUCUGAGUGAAAAUAUAAAUUAUUUAAAACUUUCAACAACGGAUCUCUUGGUUCCG